UAGAGUUUGAUCCUGGCUCAGGAUGAACGCUAGCCUUGGCCUAACACAUGCAAGCCGAGCGGUAUUUGUCUUUCGGGACAGAGAGAGCGGCGUACGGGUGCGGAACACGUGUGCAACCUGCCUUUAUCAGGGGGAUAGCCUUUCGAAAGGAAGAUUAAUACCCCAUAAUAUAUUAAGUGGCAUCAUUUGAUAUUGAAAACUCCGGUGGAUAGAGAUGGGCACGCGCAAGAUUAGAUAGUUGGUAGGGUAACGGCCUACCAAGUCAAUGAUCUUUAGGGGGCCUGAGAGGGUGAUCCCCCACACUGGUACUGAGACACGGACCAGACUCCUACGGGAGGCAGCAGUGAGGAAUAUUGGACAAUGGGUUAGCGCCUGAUCCAGCCAUCCCGCGUGAAGGACGACGGCCCUAUGGGUUGUAAACUUCUUUUGUACAGGGAUAAACCUAUUUACGUGUAAAUAGCUGAAGGUACUGUACGAAUAAGCACCGGCUAACUCCGUGCCAGCAGCCGCGGUAAUACGGAGGGUGCAAGCGUUAUCCGGAUUUAUUGGGUUUAAAGGGUCCGUAGGCGGAUCUGUAAGUCAGUGGUGAAAUCUCACAGCUUAACUGUGAAGCUGCCAUUGAUACUGCAGGUCUUGAGUAAGGUAGAAGUGGCUGGAAUAAGUAGUGUAGCGGUGAAAUGCAUAGAUAUUACUUAGAACACCAAUUGCGAAGGCAGGUCACUAUGUCUUAACUGACGCUGAUGGACGAAAGCGUGGGGAGCGAACAGGAUUAGAUACCCUGGUAGUCCACGCCGUAAACGAUGCUAACUCGUUUUUGGGUUUUCGGAUUCAGAGACUAAGCGAAAGUGAUAAGUUAGCCACCUGGGGAGUACGUUCGCAAGAAUGAACUAAAAUGAAUUGACGGA
rnacentral:rRNA from 1 species